rnacentral:rRNA from 1 species
UACAGAGGUCCCAAGCGUUGUUCGGAUUCAUUGGGCGUAAGGGGUGCGUAGGCGGCGCGGUAAGUCGGGUGUGAAAUCUCGGAGCUUAACUCCGAAACUGCAUUCGAUACUGCCGUGCUUGAGGACUGGAGAGGAGACUGGAAUUUACGGUGUAGCGGUGAAAUGCGUAGAUAUCGUAAGGAAGACCAGUGGCGAAGGCGGGUCUCUGGACAGUUCCUGACGCUGAGGCACGAAGGCCAGGGGAGCAAACGGG